rnacentral:lncRNA from 1 species
AAUAAACUCAUUGUCCUAAGGAAAUAGUUCAAAAAUAUAAGCCAAAAUUAAGUUUUCUAGCUUCUUUUAAAAGAACUUUUUGGCGCCUUUGUGAGCUAGAGGUGCUAUCUUAAUUUUUUUAGUGCCAGCACAUUUUAUUUUUAUGAAGUGUCUUUUGUUUUGUAAUUUUAAAAUUGUAUAAAUAUUUUCUCAAACUAUAUAUGUAUGUAUGUAUUUGGUAUAUGCAUAUAUGUA